AUUAAGGCCCGCACUAUCAGUGAGACCCCUACCUGCUCAGCCUGUUGAUGCUGACUACAGCUGUCACGAAUAACACACUGUCUGACGAUGUGCGACCUGCCCCAGAUGUUGGCUCCUCGGGCUCCCCAUACAGCUCAACCUGCGGAGGUCUGAAGAGCACUUACAAACACAACAGCGAGAGCAAACACGUGUUGAUUAACGCGAGACUACAAACGAACUAACAGGAGGACAAAACCCCGCCGCCCGUGUGCCAUCAAAGCACAAAGACAGAAUCCAACUCAUGUUCUGCAAGGGAUGCUAAUUGGUGAUCAAAAACACAUGAAGCAGAGGCACAUGGUGCACGAGUGGGCUGUUUGCCGCAGUUGGCUGUGUGAGGAGAAGGUGCGAGAGCUGAUCCCACUCUGUGUGUUCGGGCUGAGGGCCGGGCAGCUGCAGCACCGACAGGAGAACAACACCAAUCAGCAGCUCUGAUUGAGACGCUGCCUCGAACUGCUCCGACUGGGACCAGAUGGAGCACAGAAUC